UUCAGACACCUGAAGCCACGUUUCUCAGAAAAGAUCAUCGGGUUACUGCCUGUAACAGUGCUGCCGUCAGUGUGCCAAAUGCACCCCUUGGAUCUUCCUAAUAAAGAAUAUCUCCUGCAGCUCCAGCCCAGCAGGGAAUUAGGGAAACCGAAUGUGACAGAGCAGUGCAGAAGGGUAAUUCUACUUCACAGUAUUUUAAAGGAAGAGAAGUGGAUAAUGCUGAAGCUUUACAACUGUAGACACAUUUUUCCACAAAUAAACUCUAUAUGAAACAUCUAAUAACAGUGAGGAAGCAGCAAGGACUAAAUCAGGCAAGGAAAAUGACUCUCUCUACCCUCUGUACACGCAAGAGAACAUCUGAAUAAUUUACCAGCCAGUUUUUCUGCUGUUUACAAUUCAAGCAUAUUGCAUACUACAAUCCAAUAUGACAAGCUAAUUAAUUUUGCUAGCACUAUAUCCUCAUUCCCUGUGUUCAUUUGCUGUGCACACUUCCCUUUACACUUUGUGAGGUGCGUGUCAGCCUUGUCAGCCUUGCCCAAGACAAAGUGUAAAAUGGAUUGGUA
rnacentral:lncRNA from 1 species